rnacentral:rRNA from 1 species
CCUACGGGAGGCUGCAGUAGGGAAUCUUCCGCAAUGGACGAAAGUCUGACGGAGCAACGCCGCGUGAGCGAAGAAGGUCUUCGGAUCGGAAAGCUCUGUUGUUAGGGAAGAACAAGUACGGGAGGAAAUGACCGUACCUUGACGGUACCUAACGAGGAAGCCACGGCUAACUACGUGCCAGCAGCCGCGGUAAUACGUAGGUGGAAAGCGUUGUCCGGAAUUAUUGGGCGUAAAGCGCGCGCAGGCAGUGUUUUAAGUCUGUUGUGAAAUAGUGCGGCGAAACCGCAAGCGGGCAUUGGAAACUGGGAGACUUGAUUGCAGAAGAGGAAAGCGGAAUUCCACGUGUAGCGGUGAAAGGCGUAGAGAUGUGGAGGAACACCAGUGGCGAAUGCGGCUUUCUGGUCUGUAACUGACGCUGGGGCGCGAAAGCGUGGGGAGCAAACAGGAUUAGAUACCCCAGUAGUC